GUCAAAAACAAGUUAAGCUUAAACCCAAAAGUAAAGUUAAAAUAUGAAUUAUCAAGUAGUAAUAAAUAAUAGGUGACUUUCAUUUACAUACAAAUGCAAUUAAAUACAUAAAUAUAAGGCUUAACAAAUAAAGUUUCGUACAAGAAGAGAUGACAUCAAAGUAAUCUAUACUCACACUAGUCACUGGUGAAAUUCACCUUUAACA
rnacentral:lncRNA from 1 species